UUAGUUAGAAAAGCGAGUCCCCUGAGAGGGUAAGCUAAGAAAAUUUCAAGUCCCCUGAGAGGGUGAGGUACAAAAGAGCAAGAUAUUUAGAAAAGCGAGUCCCCUGAGAGGGUAGCUAACAGAAAGUGAGUCCCCUGAGAGGGUAAGAUACAAAAGAGCAAGAGAUUUAGAAAAGCGAGUCCCCUGAGAGGGUAAGCUAAGAAAAUUUCAAGUCCCCUGAGAGGGUGAGGUACAAAAGAGCAAGAUAUUUAGAAAAGCGAGUCCCCUGAGAGGGUAGCUAACAGAAAGUGAGUCCCCUGAGAGGGUAAACGACAGAAAAUGCAAGUCCCCUGAGAGGGUAAGUUACAAAAGAGCAAGUUAGUUAGAAAAGCGAGUCCCCUGAGAGGGUAGCUAACAGAAAGUGAUUCCCUUGAGAGGGUAGGCUAAGAAAAUGUCAAGUCCCCUGAGAGGGUAAGGUACAAAAGAGCAAGAGAUUUAGAAAAGCGAGUCCCCUGAGAGGGUAGCUAACAGAAAGUAAGUCCCCUGAGAGGGUAAGAUACAAAAGAGCAAGAGAUUUAGAAAAGCGAGUCCCCUGAGAGGGUAAGCUAAGAAAAUUUCAAGUCCCCUGAGAGGGUGAGGUACAAAAGAGCAAGAGAUUUAGAAAAGCGAGUCCCCUGAGAGGGUAGCUAACAGAAAGUAAGUCCCCUGAGAGGGUAAGAUACAAAAGAGCAAGAGAUUUAGAAAAGCGAGUCCCCUGAGAGGGUAAGCUAAGAAAAUUUCAAGUCCCCUGAGAGGGUAAGGUACAAAAGAGCAAGUUAGUUAGAAAAGCGAGUCCCCUGAGAGGGUAGCUAACUGAAAGUGAGUCCCCUGAAAAGGGAAAAGACAGAAAAAGCAAGUCCCCUGAGCGAGUAAGCUACGAAAAUAUCAAGUCUCCUGAGAGGAUAAGUUUCAAAAGAAUGCCUUAAGAGAGUAGCUAACAGAAAGUGAGUCCCCUAAGAGGGUAAACGACAGGAAAACCUAAGUAAGCGGACUGUUACGUGACUUACAAGUAUUUGAAUUGCUAUUUGCUGAUAAAAUUAAGAAAUCUUGAAUUGAGAUAAUGUGAGUUUAUCGAAUGGGAAGUGAAAAAAGGGAGACAUGUGAAAAUAUAACAAAAUAAUAAUAAUUUUAUAUAAUAAUAAUUAUAUAAAAAUAUAAUAAAAUAAUAAUAAUAACAUCGAAAUAAUGCGAAUACCUGAAUUGAUAGGUGAGUUUUCAGAAAUAACCACUGUAAAAAAACUAGAACCCUGAGAGAAUAGCUAACACGAAACAAGUCUCCUAAAUAGGCCAAAACAGCAAGUACUCUGAGAGAAUAUCUUACAGAAAGCGAGUCUUUUUUUCCAAGUAGCAUGAUUCAAAUAUGUAAUUAGUAAAAAUGUGAUGAGAAUCUAUAAAGCGACUUGUAUAAUUGAAACUUUGAAAGUUUUCGAUCUCUUAUACUCAAUUUAAAGUAAUUAGCUAGAAGGACUAUUAUUUGCGUUACAUAUACUGCCAUUAACACAGAAUGAAAAAAGGGUAAAGAGCCUUAAAAAAACUCUUUUAUAUGUAGUAUGCUAAGAAAAUAGAGCACCAGUUACAAAAAAAAAUUAGAGAAUGUCAAGCAUUUUCUGAUUUUUAAAUAUUGGAAGAUUUCGAUCAGUUAUGCUCAUGUUGACUUUAUGAGCCCGGAAAUAGAUAGAGAAAUAGAAUACGAAGCUAACACAUUUCGUUGUUAAAAAACUAAAGCAAUGUAUACAAAUUGCUUACAUUAACAUUUUUAAAUUUUGCUGUGCCCGUUAAAGUUUAAAAGAAUUCAAUUUUUUUAGGAAAAAAAAGUAAUAAAAAAUGAAUGCAAUAAAUAAGUUCAUAAUUAAGAUCGGAAUAACUGUUCUGAAAGAGUCUCCUAAGAGGGUAGCUGAAUUGGAACGAAUAUAAGCUAAAAAAAUGCGAGUUGCCCGAGAGGGUAGCUUUUGAGAACAUAGAAAUGGUAACAUAAAAUUCGAAUGUGUAAAACGUUUUGUGCUGUUGAAAAUUUGAAACAUUUCGAUCUCUUAUGCUCACCUUCAAUCUUAUAAGCCUGAAAAACUUUUUCCGAAGUAAUAUUUUGAAAUCACAGAUAGAUAAUUAAAUAAAGUUAAAGUGCUGAUGUAGUUUUGGAAAAUUUCAAUCUUUUAUGAUCACUGUUACGUUAUGAGUCUUAACACGUUUUGUGUUGUUGCAGUUUUAGAAGAUUUCGAUCUUAUAUGCUCACUUUGACAUCAUGAGUCUGGAAAGCUCUUUUCAAAGUUACAUUUCAAAAGCAUAGAUACUCAGUAAUAAGAAAUUAAAAUGUGUAAAGCGUUUUUGAUAUUGAAAUUUUAGAUGACUUCUAUUACUUAUGCUCAUUUUGGCGUUAAGGAAUAUUGUGGGAGUUAAAAAAUGUUCCGAAUGUCAUUCAAGACCACGCAAACAAACUAAUUAUAACCUUGAUUUUUUCUAGAAGAAGAAGGUAUCCGGAGAAGAAAAAAUUUGGAUCAAACGUUGAAAAAAGGCAGUUGCUGAAAUCUUCAAUCGUGGUGGAUACAGGAAACGAACACUAUUCAAAAAGAAUCGUAAAGCUGUUUGGGCAAUACUAAAUUUACUUUUGUCUUUUCAGGGUCAUAUAAAGAUUCAAGUAAACAGUUCUAUAACAGAUAGCGGAAUCGUAAUGAUGAAACAUGGAAUUGGUGAUCAACCAGGAAGAAGCUUUUUUUUAUUCUCAAGUAAUUCUCAAGUAUGAAGAAAGAACAUCUUAUAUCAUGCAACAUAAUUUUAAAUAACAUUUACGUACUAGGAGUAGAGGAAGGGGUGAAUGUAGGGAUUAUGAGAGGUUAGCAGCAGAGUAUAGUUAAAACAAAAUAUGUUCGUGAACCAACGAACUGUUUAACUAG
rnacentral:lncRNA from 1 species